rnacentral:misc_RNA from 1 species
AUUUAAUCUAGGGUCGUAAAGGUUUGAGGUUAGAAAAAAUAGAACGGAAUUUUCGGAUUUUUCAAAAGGUAUUGUUCGAGUUAUUAAAUAAAAUAAAUGUAAUACAAACAUUUUUAAAGUUACACUUUCCAUAUUUCAUUGCGCUGGAAAUGUUGUUUUACUUAAAAGAUAAGGAAGGUUCGAUAUUGUAUUUAUUAAAAGAUAAAUACACUAUUGGGAGAAAGGAUGCAGAUAUUCUCUUAACAAAUGAUCAGUCUAUAAGUCGUAAUCAUGCUCUUUUAAAAUUAGAUAGCAACAGAAUAAUUUUGGUUGAUUGUGGAGCAAAAUACAAGACAUAUGUUGAUAAUACAAAACUUCAACCUCAUGAAGAUACAAUUUUAAGUCCUGGAAAUACAAUUAAAUUUGGAGCAUUUGAAAGUAUUUAUAAAGUAGGUUGUAUAAACAUAGUAACAGCACACUCAUGUUUAACCAAAGAAGAAAAGAAAAAAGUAAUUUGUCAAAUAAACUUUUUAAAUGGAUGUUGUGUAAGUAAUUGGACACCUGAAUGUACUCAUUUAACAGUCAACGAAUUAAAACUUACUGUAAAGAUGUUGUGUUGUCUGAUAGAAGGAAAACCAAUAGUUACAGUAAAGUUUUGGGAAGAUUUUGCAAAGAAUGUCAAAGAAAAUCAUUCCCCACCUGAUCCUAACAAUUACAAACCACCUUGUACAGAAAUAAUGUUAAACAAAAAUUUACCAUUAGAUUUCAAAGAAGAAAGAAAACACCUAUUCCGUAAUAAAGUAUUUGUUUUUAUGACAGAAGCUGAUAAAGAAACUGUGGAGUUGGUCAUAAAAUAUGCAGGAGGACAAUGUAUAUCUUGGGAAAAGGAACAUAUAAAAAAAGAAGAUAUAGAUAAUCCUGAGAAAGAGUAUUUAAUUGUACAGAAUACAGAUAGUCCAACAAAAAUACAAUCCCAAGAAUUGAUAGAUCUGAUAGAACAUCUAAAGCAAACAGGAAAACGUUUGAUUCCAUUUACAGAAUUAGCCCUUGCAAUUGUAAACUGUUCUUGCGAAAAAGAUUGCAAUCCUAACUUUGAUAGAAAUGCUGCAUUAUUAAAGGCAACAUCCAGUCAAUUAGCAGCUCCAUGUAAAAUACUUGUAACAGAAACUCAGACGCAACAAGAAGAACAUUCCAAAAAUACUCAAAACAAUGCUACAAUUCCUCCCUCAUUUGAUAAUUCGUCUUGUAGUAGUCAAAAUUUUGCACCCAAAAUCAAUAGUACGUUUGCUGAACCUAAAGUAGCAAAUAAAAGAAUUGCCGAAGAUCACGUCGACAAGUUGACUGAAAACAUAUCAAAAAAAGCGAAAAUGUUAACAGAAAAUUUUGCUGUCUUUAUCAACAAGAAAAAUAAGGAAAUCACCAAAGCAAACAACGCUUUCGAUAUUUUUACUAAUAAAAAAGGUGAUAAAGAUUCGUCAUCAGGUACAUCGGAAACUAAAGAAAAUAGCAUUUCUACAGCAGAACCAAAAAAACGUAAGUUUGACUUUGUUGAACCAGAUGAAAAGCAAAACAGUUUAGUGGAAAUAACUAAAAAGAUAAAUUUAGAUAAAGAUGAGGUUGAUAAUAUAUCUUUAUUACAAAGCAAAAUUUUGAAAAGUUCGACAAAUCAUUUUUCUUCGUCUGGCAAGACAAAUCAAAAUUCAACGACAAAUAUCCUAUCUGGAUCGUGGAUUUCAAUAAACAAUUCAACGAAUAAAAUUGAAGAAGUCUGUAAACAAGAAGAUAUUGAUGAAGAAAUGUUACGGUUUGUUAAUUCCUUCAGGAAUUCUGUCGUUAUCGUAGAAAAAAAUCUUAUUAAGUGUAAACCUAAAGCCAAUACACUCUCAAUUAAUGCUGUUUCAAAUUCAAAUCGAAAAGAUUUUAAAAAAUUUAAAAGGGUAAAACCUCUAAAAGAGCAGUCCACAAUAAUUCCACGUUCGGAAUGUGUACGAGUUAUUUGUAAUAGUGAUGCUGUUUUGCAACCACAAGCACAUGAAGAAGAUAACGAUGAUAAUGAUGAUAUAGAAUUUAUUAAUGGCCCAAUCCAAAGUAAACAGCAAAACACCAGCAGUAAAAAGAAACCAUUGAAAUUUGAAAUUUAGGCUGUGAAUGAAACGCCGUUUUGAAAUAAACAGAUUUUUACGCCGAUGACGCAUUUAGUAAUUCAUCUUAAUCAAAAAAACUUUUGAACGGCAGUAUCGAAACAUCCAUCAAAAAAAAAAAAAUUCAAGGUGAAAACCCCUAAUCCGAAUACGAUUAUUUUGCUUGCCGCGAAAGCCUAGCAAAUACUAUAUAUGGAAAACGCUAGAUAUGUAGUAUUAUAAAGUGGCGAGGGUAAAUUCAAGUCGAUCUUUUACAAUCCAUUUACACCACAAUCGUCGUCAUUGACGUUUAAACCUUACUUAUUAUAACCAUUUUUCCGUCUUCCUAUGGAACUCGAAUUAAGUGCCUAAGAAUCCGUAUAAAGUAUAUUUUAAUCCAUCACAUGGUGGUACUUAUCCACGUAAAGAUCACUCCAUCUAGAGAUCUCGGUUUUCCAGUCUGUUGGCCACAUUUUAAAUGUUACCUAGUUGCGAUGCAUUGAUUUACACAAAUUCGUUAUUAAAUUAUUUAAUUUG